rnacentral:tRNA from 1 species
AGAGCAAUGGUUCAGUUGGUAAAGUGUUUGCUUUGCAAGCAUAAGGAUUUGAGUUCAAUUCCCAGACUCUA